AAAUGCUAUGGUAUAUACAAUGGUUGAGGUGGUGUUACCUCAGUGAUCAGGUGAAGUAGAUGGAGACAUAGUCAUCCAUACUCUCUUGGGUAUAGGCAGGGGCUGAAGUUGAGGCGGGAGGGUUUUGCUCGUUCUGUCCGGUCGAGCGUGUGAAAGCUCGUCUCUGCCUACUCCUUGGCUCUCUCAGCUCGGAGAUCACUUCCCGAGGCUCAAAAGAUGAAGCUCGGGGUUGAUCGAUCCUUUCAGCUCUCCUUGCAGCUGAGCUCGUUGAACCGCUUCUUCUUACUUCGGGGUUGGAAGACGGUGGCCUUGGCUUACUCUGGAAGUCCUUGAGUUGAGCAGCCAUACUGUUCAGCUACUUCUUCAUUGUUCUCAUCUUCUUCUUGAAACCCUUCAUUGUCUUGUUGUAAAGGUUUCCAAGCUCUUCAAGCACACCAAGCUUCUUGUGAACUUCAGCAAUCUCAUCUCCCUCUUGCUUAGCACCUUCUUCAUAAUGAGCUUGCUCUUGUUCGCUAGUCCCUUGCUCCGGUUGAUCAAUAUGUUGCUCAAACUCGAUUUGCUCCUCAUAAUCAGCUUGAGUAAAGUACUCAUGUUGCUCAUAGUCGGCUGGGCUAUAUUCCGGUUCAUCCUCUCGAGCUCCUCCAAUGUCGAUGUUCAAGGCAGAGGGAAAUGGCAUGAAAUUGAUGUUGCGCCUUGUCUUCACCAAAGUCCGAUUCUCGCAUUGUAGGGGUAGAAGAGAAGGUCCAAGCUCCGAGUGGUUGAACUUGAAGAGAUAGCGAUCCGCUAGAGUUGUUUUCUCAAGAAAAUCCUUCCCCUUGAGAUAGUCUAGGUCAAUGAACUUAGGCAACACGUCAGGGGUUCCGAAUUCCAUACCCACAACUCCUAGUAUUGGCGUUAAGAGACCACCAACACAAAGACUCCCGUGAAUUCCCGAGCGAUGGAUGGUUGCAGCUUACUCCUUAUAGCUCAAUAGGUGAUCCAAGAGAACAACACUCAACGAAGUGUCUGCUCUAUCACCCGCCAAAUUCCUCCCAUCUUUUGUCUCUCUCAAAAUA
rnacentral:sRNA from 1 species